AGAGUUUGAUCCUGGCUCAGAGCGAACGCUGGCGGCAGGCUUAACACAUGCAAGUCGAACGGUCCUUCGGGAUAGUGGCGGACGGGUGAGUAACACGUGGGAACGUACCCUUAGGUUCGGAACAACACAGGGAAACUUGUGCUAAUCCCGAAUAAGCCCUUCGGGGGAAAGAUUUAUCCCUUUGGACCGCCGCGCCUGAUACCUUGUGGGGGAGGUAAGGGCUCCCACGGCUACAACAAUUACUGGUCUGAGAGAUGG
rnacentral:rRNA from 1 species